UUAUUGUCUACAUGUCAAUCACAAAAAAUAUAACAUUUUAGUCCAACCAACAGUGUCAAAUAACAUCACCAGUGAAGAAAGAACUCGUCCACACUUCCAAGCAUGUGGGAAAGCAAUGAAAGGCCAUCAAUAUGUCCUUGACUGUCCACGGAACAAGAAUCCAAAAUGAGGGAAAUUGAGUCCUUAUUGAAUGAUAGGCACAAGCAGGCAGUGGUAUCCUUUUCCUUCCUAAGUAACCAUGCACCAGCUGGGUAAACUCUCGAUAGGCAACACUUCUUAAAUACCUAUAUUUACAAAUUAAACAAAUGUUUGUUUCACAAUAAUUAAAUUUAACAUAAGAUGAAA